rnacentral:rRNA from 1 species
AUGCACGCUGGCGGCGUGCCUAAUCCAUGCCAGUCGAGCGAACAGACGAGGAGCUUGCUCCUCUGACGUUAGCGGCGGACGGGUGAGUAACACGUGGAUAACCUACCUAUAAGACUGGGAUAACUUCGGGAAACCGGAGCUAAUACCGGAUAAUAUAUUGAACCGCAUGGUUCAAUAGUGAAAGACGGUUUUGCUGUCAAUUAUAGAUGGAUCCGCGCCGCAUUAGCUAGUUGGUAAGGUAACGGCUUACCAAGGCGACGAUGCGUAGCCGACCUGAGAGGGUGAUCGGCCACACUGGAACUGAGACACAGUCCAGACUCCUACGGGAGGCAGCAGUAGGGAAUCUUCCGCAAUGGGCGAAAGCCUGACGGAGCAACGCCGCGUGAGUGAUGAAGGUCUUCGGAUCGUAAAACUCUGUUAUUAGGGAAGAACAAAUGUGUAAGUAACUAUGCACGUCUUGACGGUACCUAAUCAGAAAGCCACGGCUAACUACGUG